GACCCGCACCUGGCUCCAUGGCGGAACCGGCCGGCGUGGAUUAUUCCCCUCUCGGGAGAGAGGUCUGCAGCCGGGCCUCAGUGCUUCAGUUCGUGGCCUGGCAUUUUGUGAAGAGUGUCUUCAUCUCUGCAUCCCUAGUGCAACAGAGCAUGAUAAAAAUUCAAUAAAUAUUUAUUGCAGAGUCUUGAUGUCUUUUGGGAAAGGAACUCUAUGGUUACCUUUACUCUAAGAGAUGGGGUCUCACUCUGUUGCCCAGGCUGGUCUCAAACUCCUGGCUUCAAGGAAUCCUCCUGCUUCGGCCUCCCAAACUUCUGGGAUUACAGAUAUGAGCCACCAUGGCUGACUGACGGGCACCAAAUUCUAGGAGAGGACUUGAAUAGGCUCCUAAGGAGGCAGCAGAAACCAAGGUAAUCACAAUGGUCAACAGCAGCGAAGGCAGCACUUUCUGA
rnacentral:antisense_RNA from 1 species